AUCCAGCUGACGAGUUCCAAACAAAACGAAAUGCGUGUGCUGGAC
rnacentral:hammerhead_ribozyme from 1 species